rnacentral:rRNA from 1 species
GACGAACGCUGGCGGCGUGCUUAACACAUGCAAGUCGAACGGUAAGGCCCUUCGGGGUACACGAGUGGCGAACGGGUGAGUAACACGUGGGUGAUCUGCCCUGCACUUCGGGAUAAGCCUGGGAAACUGGGUCUAAUACCGGAUAGGACUCCUGGCUUCAUGGUUGGGGGUGGAAAGCUUUUGCGGUGUGGGACGGGCCGGCGGCCUGUCAGCUUGUUGGUGGGGGAAUGGACUACCAAGGCGACGACGGGUAGCCGGCCUGAGAGGGUGACCGGUCACACGGGGACUGAGAUACGGCACAGACUCCUACGGGAGGCAGCAGUGGGGAAUAUUGCACAAUGGGCGCAAGCCUGAUGCAGCGACGCCGCGUGAGGGAUGACGGCCUUCGGGUUGUAAACCUCUUUCAGCUAUGACGAAGCGCAAGUGACGGUAGUAGCAGAAGAAGGACCGGCCAACUACGUGCCAGCCGCCGCAGUAA